GACGAACGCUGGCGGCGUGCUUUACACAUGCAAGUCGAACGGUGAAGGUGGAGCUUGCUCCGCCGGAUCAGUGGCGAACGGGUGAGUAACACGUGGGCAACCUGCCCCUAACUUUGGGAUAACUACUCGAAAGAGUAGCUAAUACCGGAUAUGAAGUCUGUAGGCAUCUACGGAUUUGGAAAGUUUUUCGGUUAGGGAUGGGCCCGCGGCCUAUCAGCUUGUUGGUGAGGUAGUGGCUCACCAAGGCGACGACGGGUAGCCGGCCUGAGAGGGCGACCAGCCAAACUGGGACUGAGAUACGGCCCAGACUCCUACGGGAGGCAGCAGUGGGGAAUAUUGCGCAAUGGGCGGAAGCCUGACGCAGCAACGCCGCGUGCGGGAUGAAGGCCUUCGGGUUGUAAACCGCUUUCAGCAGGGAAGAAGCGAAAGUGACGGUACCUGCAGAAGAAGCACCGGCUAACUACGUGCCAGCCGCCGCAGUAA
rnacentral:rRNA from 1 species